rnacentral:rRNA from 1 species
GCCUUACACAUGCAAGUCGAACGGCAGCACGGAGCAAUCCUGGUGGCGAGUGGCGAACGGGUGAGUAAUAUAUCGGAACGUGCCCAGUCGUGGGGGAUAACGUAGCGAAAGCUACGCUAAUACCGCAUACGAUCUAUGGAUGAAANCGGGGGAUCGCAAGACCUCGCGCGAUUGGAGCGGCCGAUAUCAGAUUAGGUAGUUGGUGAGGUAAAGGCUCACCAAGCCGACGAUCUGUAGCUGGUCUGAGAGGACGACCAGCCACACUGGGACUGAGACACGGCCCAGACUCCUACGGGAGGCAGCAGUGGGGAAUUUUGGACAAUGGACGCAAGUCUGAUCCAGCCAUUCCGCGUGCAGGAUGAAGGCCCUCGGGUUGUAAACUGCUUUUGUACGGAACGAAACGGUGAGCUCUAAUACAGUUUGCUAAUGACGGUACCGUAAGAAUAAGCACCGGCUAACUACGUG